AUGAGCACAUAAAGAAGUAAGUUGAUCUGAUUGCAUGCUACUCCCAGGGAAGCAGGAGUCUUCUUUCAAGGCAACGGUUGAAGGCAUCCCUGUGCGUCUGGGCAGAUGUCCCUCUCAUUUGGGCCUGACUGGAAAGGAAGUGGGAACAUCUGGGGAGAAGGACGGGCUCGAUGGAAGACAAAAACAACAAGAGGAGGAAGAGAGCAGUCAGGAGGAGGAGAGAAACUUUCCUGGAACAGUGGAGAUAGACUGAAACAGCAAAGACUUGCAGUGAGUUGAUACAUCUGAAGACACAGCAAGCUUAGACCUACCGUUCCUCGCAAGACCUCUGAUCUAAAUGUAGGAUUGUCGACUAUUUCCAACUAAGGUGGUGAUUUUGGAGAGACAUGGUUGUGGCCUGACGACAGCAAUGAACUCCUGCUUCCUCAAGCUGGGUCAUCAUCCACCAGCAACAGAGCAUCGGCCACUAGAGGGUAGUAUUUAACUACAAGGAGCAGCAUUCAAUUACCAUGACCACGUUUACCACCAUGGUGGUGUUGAAGCAUACAAGACACACUGAUCUCAACCACCUGUAGCGGGAAGGAGAAUGACGAAAUAACAGCCGGUCCAUAUUUGAAGAAAAGCUCUUUUUUCCUCUCUUCUUUACAUGAACUGUUUAUGCUGUCAUUGACUCGCUCCGGUUGUCCCCUUGGUAAACUCUCCUGUCAGCACUGCUCGUCCAUGUGCCUUUGUGUAUUUCCGGCUUCAGUCACAAGCACUGUCUGAGCAAAGGAUUUAAUUGGCCGAGUAGCAUCACGUGUGGCGAUCUCAAGGUCAAGAAAAGUUGCACUGUUUCAAAUACACUCCUGUUUGUAAGCAU